rnacentral:rRNA from 1 species
UACGUAGGGGGCAAGCGUUGUCCGGAUUUACUGGGCGUAAAGAGCGUGUAGGCGGCCACGCAGGUCCGUUGUGAAAACUGGAGGCUCAACCUCGAGACGCCGGUGGAAACUGCAAAGCUAGAGUCCGGAAGAGGAGAGUGGAAUUCCUGGUGCAGCGGUGAAAUGCGCAGAUAUCAGGAAGAACACCCGUGGCGAAGGCGGCUCUCUGGGACGGUACUGACGCUGAGACGCGAAAGCGUGGGGAGCAAACGGG